rnacentral:lncRNA from 1 species
CCCCCCCCCCCCCCCCCCCCCCCCCCCCCCCCCCCCCCCCCCCCCCCCCCCCCCCCCCCCCCCCCCCCCCCCCCCCCCCCCCCCCCCCCCGGGGGGGGGGGGAGGUGGCACCGUCCCUGUCCCUGUCCCCAGGGCUCCCAGUGGCUCCCAGUAAGUCCCAGUUCCCAGGAGUGGCCCCGCAGCCCAAAGGGACAGGAGGGGACAGCAGGACACCGCCCCAAAGUCCCCGUGUCCCCUCCAGGGUCCUUGGCACAGCAGGGAGCAGCGGUGGCACCUCCUGGUGUCACCUCAGGUGUUACUGCCUGGUGGCACCUCUGAUGUCACCUCUGGUGUCACCUCCUGGUGUCACCUCAGGUGUUCCCCCCCCCCCCCCCCCCCCCCCCCCCCCCCCCCCCCCCCCCCCCCCCUGCCUGGUGGCACCUCCCGUGUCCCCUCCAGGGUCCUUGGCACAGCAGGGAGCAGCGGUGGCACCUCCUGGUGUCACCUCAGGUGUUACUGCCUGGUGGCACCUCUGAUGUCACCUCAGGUGUUGCUGCCUGGUGGCAGCUCCUGGUGGCACCUCCAAGGUUCUUCAGUGUCACAUCCCAGGUGUCCCCAGGGUCGUGUUCUUGGUGUCCUCAAUGUCCUCGAUGUCACAUCUCCAGUGUCCCCAGUUCUCCAGUCCCAGUGUUCCCAAUGUCACACCCCUGGUGUCCCCGGUGUCCUGUUCCCAGUGUUCCCAAUGUCACAUCCGCAGUGUCACACCCCUGGUGUCCCCGGUGUCCUGUUCUCAGUGUCCCCAAUGUCACACCCCUGGUGUCCCCGGUGUCCCGUUCUCAGUGUCCCCAAUGUCACACCCCUGGUGUCCCCGGUGUCCCGUUCUCAGUCUUCUUGGUGUCCCAUUCCUGGUGUCCUUGGUGUCCCAUCCCAGUGUCCCCAAUGUCCCAUCCCAGUGUCCCCAGUGUCCCCGGUGUCCCCAGUGUCACAAGGUGAAGAUCUCGUCCUCGCUGUCCCCGGUGUCCCCAGUGUCCCCGGUGUCCCCAGUGUCCCCAGUGUCACAAGGUGGCGAUCUCCUCCUCGCUGUCCCCGGUGUCCCCAGUGUCACAAGGUGAAGAUCUCGUCCUCGCUGUCCCCAGUGUCCCCAGUGUCCCCAGUGUCACAAGGUGAAGAUCUCGCCCUCGCUGUCCCCAGUGUCCCCAGUGUCCCCAGUGUCCCCCCCCCCCCCCCCCCCCCCCCCCCCCCCCCCCCCCCCCCCCCCCCCCCCCCCCCCCCCCCCCCCCCCCCCCCCCCCCCCCCCCCCCCCCCCCCCCCC